CAAUAGCGUAUAUUAAAGUUGUUGCGGUUAAAAAGCUCGUAGUUGGAUUUCUGCUGAGGACGAUCGGUCCGCCCACUGGGUGAGUAUCUGGCUCGGCCUUGGCAUCUUCUUGGAGAACGUUGCUGCACUUGACUGUGUGGUGCGGUAUCCAGGACUUUUACUUUGAGGAAAUUAGAGUGUUUCAAGCAGGCGCACGCCUUGAAUACAUUAGCAUGGAAUGAUAAGAUAGGACCUUGGUUCUAUUUUGUUGGUUUCUAGAGCUGAGGUAAUGAUUAAUAGGGAUAGUUGGGGGCAUUCGUAUUUAACUGUCAGAGCUGAAAGUCUUGGAUUUGUUAAAGACGGACUACUGCGAAAGCAUUUGCCAAGGAUGUUUUCAUUGA
rnacentral:rRNA from 1 species